CUUAAAAACAAACCUAAUAACAUAAAAAUACCCAAAUAAGUGAUAACAUAUUAAACGGGGUGAUAACAUAAUCAAUGAGGUAAUAACAUCAAAAUGUAUAUUUGCUUCUGAAUAUACAGUCACGUGAUAUCAUCAAAAGAAAAUAAAAUAAAUAUAGCACUAUAAAGACAACUGUCGUUACAUUUUCCGAUACUCAUGUUAUUAUUCGAUAUUAUUAUUUCAUACUAUAACAUGAUGCUGUAUUUUUCUCUCGUGAAAGCCAUAACUUAUAUUAGAUGUUGAGGAAAAAUAAAUUAAUCAAAUUGAGGUAAAAAAUCAGUUAUAAAGCCAAGUGAUAAAAAAUAAAUAUAGUUAAAAAUACACUGAAUUUAGCAUACAGUCACGUGUUUAUCAUUUAAUAGAAAACUUAUGCAAUCAACCUAUUAUAUACGGUAAUAUGGUUUCGAUGCAUUUAGGUAUCAGCUAUUUCAAUCUAUGAUUUCUUCAUAAAACAUUUCUUUUAAUUUUGUUAAAAAUUUUAACUAAAUUUCUUUCAUUUUUUUUUUUAUGACUACAGUCAGACCUAUUCCACCACGCUCAUUGUUGGCCUCUUUCAUUUGUGCCAAAAAGUAGUAGUUCAUUAAACAUAUGGAAUAUUUAGGUAGAACUAUACUAAAACAUGGGUUGGUAAAGUUUGAAUGGUUGCUGCUUCUUUAUGUAGAAAGUGACACAUAUGAAUUGUUUACAUUGUCUACAAUACAGACUGUACUUUUUUAUAAUUAAUAUAACAACAUCUAAAAUCGCUUCGGCUGUUAUCUCGGUACAUGUUAUAUGCAUAUUCAUUUAAUGAGCUGCGUCGGAAAAUAUUCGAUCACAUGUAAUGAGUAUCAAAACUUCAGUUAACUUUUUUCCAUUACAAAAAUCUUUGCGCAAAUUUUGUUACUAUAUGAAAAAGUUACACCCUCACAAACAGAUCCAAAUUAGGUUUUAUUUCGUAUUUUAAUACUUCUAAAUCAAUCAAAAACAUAAAAUUCUAUACGUGCACUUGCACAAGGUCGUUUUUCCCAGACAACUCAAUUGUUAGCACGGAGCUGUAUGUAUAGUUUUACAAUGCAUGAUUCAGAUAGAGUUAUGGUGACAGGGUAAAUUGAACAUACUUCAAUAGCGUUAUUCUUCAUUAAAAUAGUCAGGUGUAUUGUCGUCAUCGAAAUCAAUUAUAUUUCUCUUAAAUAAAACAUGACAAUCAACUAUAGCACAUGUGAUACGAAACGAAAGAGCAAUGUGAUAUAUUAUUAUAAGAGUGAACAAAAUGACGGUGUCUAGGAUUCAGAUAGAGUUAUGGUGACAGGGUAAAUUCGAAUAUACUUCAAAAGCGUUAUUUUUUUUUUAGCAAAACAGCUCUAUUGGCGUCAGCGAAAUCAAUUUUAUUUCUCUUUAAAAAAACACAUUAACAUCAACUAUAGUUUAAAUAAUACGAAACGAAAGAGCAAUGUGAUAUAAUAUUUUAAGAGUGAACAACAUGACGGUGUCUACAUUUAUGUGUAGUUCA
rnacentral:lncRNA from 1 species